AGAUUGAACGCUGGCGGCAGGCCUAACACAUGCAAGUCGAACGGUAACAGGAAGCAGCUUGCUGCUUCGCUGACGAGUGGCGGACGGGUGAGUAAUGUCUGGGAAACUGCCUGAUGGAGGGGGAUAACUACUGGAAACGGUGGCUAAUACCGCAUAACGUCGCAAGACCAAAGAGGGGGACCUUCGGGCCUCUUGCCAUCAGAUGUGCCCAGAUGGGAUUAGCUAGUUGGUGAGGUAACGGCUCACCAAGGCGACGAUCCCUAGCUGGUCUGAGAGGAUGACCAGCCACACUGGAACUGAGACACGGUCCAGACUCCUACGGGAGGCAGCAGUGGGGAAUAUUGCACAAUGGGCGCAAGCCUGAUGCAGCCAUGCCGCGUGUAUGAAGAAGGCCUUCGGGUUGUAAAGUACUUUCAGCGGGGAGGAAGGUGUUGUGGUUAAUAACCACAGCAAUUGACGUUACCCGCAGAAGAAGCACCGGCUAACUCCGUGCCAGCAGCCGCGGUAAUACGGAGGGUGCAAGCGUUAAUCG
rnacentral:rRNA from 1 species